CCUACGGGGGGCUGCAGUGGGGAAUAUUGGACAAUGGGGGCAACCCUGAUCCAGCCAUGCCGCGUGUGUGAAGAAGGCCCUCGGGUUGUAAAGCACUUUCAGUGAGGAAGAACGCCUGGUGGUUAAUACCCAUCAGGAAAGACAUCACUCACAGAAGAAGCACCGGCUAACUCCGUGCCAGCAGCCGCGGUAAUACGGAGGGUGCGAGCGUUAAUCGGAAUUACUGGGCGUAAAGCGCGCGUAGGUGGCUUGAUAAGCCGGUUGUGAAAGCCCCGGGCUCAACCUGGGAACGGCAUCCGGAACUGUCAAGCUAGAGUGCAGGAGAGGAAGGUAGAAUUCCCGGUGUAGCGGUGAAAUGCGUAGAGAUCGGGAGGAAUCCCAGUGGCGAAGGCGGCCUUCUGGACUGACACUGACACUGAGGUGCGAAAGCGUGGGUAGCAAACAGGAUUAGAUACCCUGGUAGUC
rnacentral:rRNA from 1 species